ACGGGGGGGGCAAGCGUUGUUCGGAAUUACUGGGCGUAAAGGGCUCGUAGGCGGCCAACUAAGUCAGACGUGAAAUCCCUCGGCUUAACCGGGGAACUGCGUCUGAUACUGGAUGGCUUGAGAUUGGGAGAGGGAUGCGGAAUUCCAGGUGUAGCGGUGAAAUGCGUAGAUAUCAGGAGGAACACCGGUGGCGAAGGCGCUCAUCUGGCCCAAUACUGACGCUGAGGCGCGAAAGCUAGGGGAGCAAACGGGA
rnacentral:rRNA from 1 species